rnacentral:rRNA from 1 species
GACGAACGCUGGCGGCGUGCUUAACACAUGCAAGUCGGACGGAAAGGCCCCUUUGGGGGUACUCGAGUGGCGAACGGGUGAGUAACACGUGAGUAACCUGCCCUUGACUUCGGGAUAACUUCAGGAAACUGGGGCUAAUACCGGAUAGGAAUCCUUGCUGCAUGGUGGGGGUUGGAAAGCUUCGGCGGUUUUGGAUGGACUCGCGGCUUAUCAGCUUGUUGGUGGGGUAGUGGCUUACCAAGGCUUUGACGGGUAGCCGGCCUGAGAGGGCGACCGGCCACAUUGGGACUGAGAUACGGCCCAGACUCCUACGGGAGGCAGCAGUGGGGAAUAUUGCACAAUGGGCGGAAGCCUGAUGCAGCAACGCCGCGUGCGGGAUGACGGCCUUCGGGUUGUAAACCGCUUUCAGCAGGGGCGAAGCUUGUGGUGACGGUACCUGCAGAAGAAGCACCGGCUAACUACGUG